GAUGAACGCUAGCGGCAGGCUUAACACAUGCAAGUCGAGGGGUAGAGGAAGCUUGCUUCCUUGAGACCGGCGCACGGGUGCGUAACGCGUAUACAAUCUACCUUUUACAGAGGGAUAGCCCCAGAGAAAUUUGGAUUAAUACCUCAUAGUAUUUUCGGAUCGCAUGAUUUGAUUAUUAAAGUUCCAACGGUAAAGAUGAGUAUGCGUCCCAUUAGCUAGAUGGUAAGGUAACGGCUUACCAUGGCAAUGAUGGGUAGGGGUCCUGAGAGGGAGAUCCCCCCACACUGGUACUGAGACACGGACCAGACUCCUACGGGAGGCAGCAGUGAGGAAUAUUGGACAAUGGGCGCAAGCCUGAUCCAGCCAUGCCGCGUGCAGGAUGACGGUCCUAUGGAUUGUAAACUGCUUUAUACAGGAAGAAACACUACUUCGUGAAGUAGCUUGACGGUACUGUAAGAAUAAGGAUCGGCUAACUCCGUGCCAGCAGCC
rnacentral:rRNA from 1 species